GCGGGGCGGGGGCGAGGGCGGGGCGGGGGCGGGGCGCAACGUGGAGAGGGUGAGCCGGCACGGGAAACGCCUCGGGCGAGACAGACUGCUCACCUCGCGCCAUCCGAGAGGCCAGGCAUUCCCUUUCGGGAAGAGAGAAGCGGGAGGAGCCCGAGGCGGGGAAUUGGAUGGCGGGAGGAGAGUGACAGCAGAGACAACCAAAGAGGAAAAAGGCAACGGAGGCCGCUCCAGGAAGAUCCCAGCCAAUGGAAAGUAAGGCUUCUGGGAGGCCUUGGCUAUGGGGAGCGGCUCAACCCAGCUGAAUUUGACUAAGAUGAUCAAACAUUGGCAGCCUUAUGAAUUUGAGAGGUCUGGUGGUUCUAGGUACAAAGAGUGAACAGGAUUAUUAAUAAAAGAAGUUUCUGCAUCAGAGAAGACAACUACAGGCCAAAGGAGGAGCCCAAACCCCUGACUUGGCUUGUCAGAAGUCUCAGACAUUGAAGGAGAAAGAGAGAACUGAGAAAAUGUAAAAAAUGGGCAAUCAUGAAUUCAGUUUUAAAUCAUUCUGUCCAUAUGGCCUAAGAUUUUGUCUUCUACUAAUUGGUAUAUGGGAAGCAAUCAAUAUUUGAUUAGACAGAGAACUGUAUGGAUUGCCAAAAGAGCAUGGAACCACAAUAAGAUGUUUGUGAAUGACAAAAUAAGCAUUUUGAAAGCAGUAUUUAUAAUUUGCACAGCUAAAAUAAUUGGCAAAAUAGAAAAACUUGAAUCCACAGUGGCAAGUUGCAUCAAAGAAACAAAAGAGAAGAUAAGUGAUUGGGAAUGCAAAUGCAUGGAAGUGAAAGAUAAUCUGAAAGAAGAAAAGCAAAAAAGCAAGAUUUCUGUAGAAACAAAACACUAAAGAUUACAGGUCUCUCCAAAGAAUGCCAAAAAUAAAAAACAAAAAAAUCCUGAACACCACAAUGCAAGAUAUAAUAUAAGAAAACUUCCAAGGACAUUUUAACACUGAAAAGAAAGUACCACCUGAAAGAAUCCAUGGGUCUACUCUAGUGAAAAAAACAAAAAAACAAAACAAAACCUUGAGCCUGAAAACUCCAAGACAUGUAAUGGUUAAAUUUAAUAAAUUCCAUUGACAAGAAACAAA